rnacentral:piRNA from 1 species
AGGGAGACGGGUGUGUUUGCGUUGG